UACGUAGGGUGCGAGCGUUGUCCGGAAUUAUUGGGCGUAAAGAGCUCGUAGGCGGCUUGUCGCGUCGGAUGUGAAAGCCCGGGGCUUAACUCCGGGUCUGCAUUCGAUACGGGCAGGCUAGAGUUCGGUAGGGGAGAACGGAAUUCCUGGUGUAGCGGUGAAAUGCGCAGAUAUCAGGAGGAACACCGGUGGCGAAGGCGGUUCUCUGGGCCUGUACUGACGCUGAGGAACGAAAGCGUGGGGAGCGAACAGG
rnacentral:rRNA from 1 species